AGAGUGAACGCUGGCGGCAGGCCUAAUACAUGCAAGUCGAACGGCAGCACAGCAGAGCUUGCUCUGUGGGUGGCGAGUGGCGGACGGGUGAGGAAUACAUGGGAAUCUGCCCAGUCGUGGGGGAUAACGUAGGGAAACUUACGCUAAUACCGCAUGCGCCCUUCGGGGGAAAGCCGGGGACCUUCGGGCCUGGCGCGAUUGGAUGAGCCCAUGUCGGAUUAGCUAGUU
rnacentral:rRNA from 1 species